GUAUAAGCACUUGUACUGUGAAACUGCGAAUGGCUCAUUAAAUCAGUUAUCGUUUAUUUGAUAGUACCUUACUACAUGGAUACCUGUGGUAAUUCUAGAGCUAAUACAUGCUAAAAACCCCGACUUCAGGAAGGGGUGUAUUUAUUAGAUAAAAAACCAACGCCCUUCGGGGCUCCUUGGUGAAUCAUAAUAACUUAACGAAUCGCAUGGCCUUGCGCCGGCGAUGGUUCAUUCAAAUUUCUGCCCUAUCAACUUUCGAUGGUAGGAUAGUGGCCUACCAUGGUGGCAACGGGUAACGGGGAAUUAGGGUUCGAUUCCGGAGAGGGAGCCUGAGAAACGGCUACCACAUCCAAGGAAGGCAGCAGGCGCGCAAAUUACCCAAUCCCGAUACGGGGAGGUAGUGACAAUAAAUACUGAUACGGGGCUCUUUUGGGUCUCGUAAUUGGAAUGAGAACAAUUUAAAUCCCUUAACGAGGAACAAUUGGAGGGCAAGUCUGGGCCAAG
rnacentral:rRNA from 1 species